UUUGUUCUAGUGAUAGACUUUGAAAGUCCAGUCCGGAGGUAAAAUCCUCAAACAAAA
rnacentral:tRNA from 1 species